GUGAUCUUUGACUUGUGAUUAUAGAAGGUGUGGUUUUUCUUUUUUUUGUUUGGGUUUCUUACCUUUGACAUGCAGCUGUACGUCGGUCAGUUUCAGUUCUGCCCUUUCAUUUCCGAUGGAGCAGGUGUAGUUGCCACUAUCAGUCAUUUGAGGGUUUCUCAGAGUGAGGCUGAAGUCUGAACUGUCCAGAGCAUCAGGCCUCAUUGAUGUGCGCCCGCUGUAAAGCUGGUUUUGUCCUGUUACAUCAUUUGUUUCCUCUCGUCUCACAUGGACAGAUUUGGGGUCGAGAUCAUUGCGAGUCCACAGCACUGUGGGGUUUUCCUCAGGUAUAAAACCUGAGUACUCGCAAGGCAACAGGACAGAUUUUUCCCCCUCAUACACCUCCACUACCGGAGCCAGGGCAUGCUGGGAAACUGGAAGGAGACACAAGCACACACAACAAAAACACUUAUUAUGUGUAUGCAGUGGAUUUUUUCCUUGGGUUGAUAUAAAGUCGAAUAUAAAGUGGUUUCAGAAAGUUGCAGAAUAUGUAACGUCACUCUCAGCCUUGUUUUAUGAAAAGUAUUCAAACGUGGAUUCUUCCUCUCCAACAAACACUGAAAGGACAUCAAAGAUGUUAAAGAAAACUGAUGGAUGACUGAACAACACUGAGGUGAAAGGAGGAAACCAUCUCUUAUUUAUAUCUACAUUUGGUUGAAAAUGAACACAGAUACAAGCAGAUCUGAGCCCUGCAGGGCUAACAACGACACCGCAGUCCAUUCAUUUUUAACAAAUAACCUCACCAUGCAACAACAUCAAAUGAGGCAGAAACACAGUCACUCACACACACACACACACACACACACACACACACACAAAACAGUUUAUUAGCAAAUAGACAUCCCAGUGUUACAACACAUAAAAGUGUCACCACUGACAAUGUUACACACAACUGGCGACACAACCAAUUUUCAUCUGUAUCAUUGGACACUUUUUCAUCUUCUGUUUUUGCCAUAGUCGUUAAUCUUGUCAAACGUCACUACUCUCUGGCAGGUUUGUGGUUCUAUCAGUA
ensembl:lncRNA